AGAGCUUUUCAGCCUUUGCGGGAAGCUCAAGUGUAGUGCGUAUUCUUACCAGCUGCUUAUCUGAUAGGUGGCUGCAAGGAUUCACCGUUAAAUAGCAUUGUGGAGACAGGAGGUGCUUUGGGAGCUUGCUGCAGCUGCUUCACACGAGGCCCUGGUAUUGCAAUACCUCCUGGUCCGCUGUUAGCCCU
rnacentral:snRNA from 1 species